GUCAUAGACCCCACGGCUGAAGCCGGGGGCUUGUCCUCCAGGUUUCGGCCGUAGGCCACGAGGCCUCGCUAUGAUCAGCCUCAGAGGCCUGACCCGAAGGACAAGGGGAUGAAGGCCCUACGUUACCGGGGAGAGCCAGAGUUCGCACUCCGGGAUGCUCCUCCAGUCCCGAGACCCUGCA
rnacentral:sRNA from 15 species